rnacentral:ribozyme from 12 species
UAAAGGAGAAGAAGAAGUGGAAUCAGAGGUGGAUGAAAUCGGCAUAGUUCUUGUCUCCUCCCUUUUCUCCUCUUCCCUUUUCUUCUCUUCCCUUUUCUU